ensembl:snoRNA SNORD57 small nucleolar RNA, C/D box 57
UGUGGGUGAUGAGUCUUGUUCUCCUGACUCCUACAUGGAGGCAAAAACUGAUUUAAUGAGCCUGACAC